rnacentral:rRNA from 1 species
AGUGAACGCUGGCGGUAGGCCUAACACAUGCAAGUCGAACGGCAGCACAGUAAGAGCUUGCUCUUACGGGUGGCGAGUGGCGGACGGGUGAGGAAUACAUCGGAAUCUACUUUUUCGUGGGGGAUAACGUAGGGAAACUUACGCUAAUACCGCAUACGACCUACGGGUGAAAGCAGGGGAUCUUCGGACCUUUCGCGAUUGAAUGAGCCGAUGUCGGAUUAGCUAGUUGGCGGGGUAAAGGCCCACCAAGGCGACGAUCCGUAGCUGGUCUGAGAGGAUGAUCAGCCACACUGGAACUGAGACACGGUCCAGACUCCUACGGGAGGCAGCAGUGGGGAAUAUUGGACAAUGGGCGCAAGCCUGAUCCAGCAAUACCGCGCGGGUGAAGAAGGCCUUCGGGUUGUAAAGCCCUUUUGUUGGGAAAGAAAAGCAGCAGGUUAAUACCCCGCUGUUCUGACGGUACCCAAAGAAUAAGCACCGGCUAACUUCGUG